AGCGGCGAACGGGUGAGUAACACGUAGGUCAUCUGCCCAUCAGAUGGGGACAACGAUUGGAAACGGUCGCUAAUACCGGAUAGGACGAAAGUUUAAAGGUGCUUCUGGCACCGCUGAUGGAUGAGCCUGCGGCGCAUUAGCUAGUUGGUAGGGUAAAGGCCUACCAAGGCGACGAUGCGUAGCCGACCUGAGAGGGUGAACGGCCACACUGGGACUGAGACACGGCCCAGACUCCUACGGGAGGCAGCAGUAGGGAAUCUUCGGCAAUGGGCGAAAGCCUGACCGAGCAACGCCGCGUGAAUGAUGGAGGCCUUCGGGUUGUAAAAUUCUGUUAUAAGGGAAGAACGACUUUAGUAGGAAAUGGCUAGAGUGUGACGGUACCUUAUGAGAAAGCCAUGGCUAACUACGUGCCAGCAGCCGCGGUAAUACGUAGGUGGCGAGCGUUAUCCGGAAUUAUUGGGCGUAAAGAGCGCGCAGGUGGUUGAUUAAGUCUGAUGUGAAAGCCCACGGCUUAACCGUGGAGGGUCAUUGGAAACUGGUCGACUUGAGUGCAGAAGAGGGAAGUGGAAUUCCAUGUGUAGCGGUGAAAUGCGUAGAGAUAUGGAGGAACACCAGUGGCGAAGGCGGCUUCCUGGUCUGUAACUGACACUGAGGCGCGAAAGCGUGGGGAGCAAACAGGAUUAGAUACCCUGGUAGUCCACGCCGUAAACGAUGAGUGCUAAGUGU
rnacentral:rRNA from 1 species